rnacentral:lncRNA from 1 species
CGUGUUUGCCCUCCUCUACUUUCCCACUGUUUCUCUGCUACAGUAUCCUUGUCAUUUCCAACAACAAUGCUCAGACUCAACCCAACAGGUUCUGGGUUUGCCAUUAAAAAAAAUCUGUAUCAGACUCCUCCCAGAGAGAAUAACAGGUGAUCUUGUCCCAAGGAACUCAGGGCUCUUUUCUAAUUCUCUGCUUAACUUUCUGGAGAGGUUCAGCCUCCACCUUUUGCUGACCCAUAUAACCUGCUUGUCCAGCUGGCUUCAGGCAGAACCCUCCUAACCUAGUCCUGGUGGCGGGCAUCUUCUGUUCCAGCCCCUUCAGGUAGAUGGAGAAAAGGACAAACCAUCUCCAUCAGACCUGCACCAUGAAAUGUGCGGAUACCCAAGUUAUAGCCAAGCAAGCUCAGGAUUCAGCCGUGUGUCAUGCAAACGCACCUGCAGAAGAAGUCCCUCUGAUGAUGUAUGGCCUCCAGCAGCCCAGCGCUCGGUGCAGAUCCGAGAGGAAGUUCCUAUGCUGGUGGGCAGCAGAGGAUGAAGACUCACCCCAUGGAGCCUCACCCUGACACAGGAGCAGAGGAAAUCAUACUGGCCAGCCAUGAACCAUCCCAGGGAAAACCUCCUCUCAGGUAGAGAAAAGCAUUCCAAAGGAGGGAGAUAACAGCUGCAGCUUCCUUUCAAAGCCACUCCCUUCCCUCUUUCUCCAGGACAAGCAUGGAUGUGGGGUAAUUAAUUUCUUUGGAUUUCCC